GUUUGACUAAGCCAUGUUGACCAGGGUUGGUAAAUCUCGUGCCAGCCACCGCGGUCAUACGAUUAACCCAAGCUAACAGGAAUACGGCGUAAAACGUGUUAAAGCACUACAUCAAAUAGAGUUAAAUUCUAAUUAAACUGUAAAAAGCCAUAAUUACAACAAAAAUAGAUGACGAAAGUAACCCUACUGCAGCUGAUACACUAUAGCUAAGACCCAAACUGGGAUUAGAUACCCCACUAUGCUUAGCCCUAAACACAAAUAAUUACAAAAACAAAAUUAUUCGCCAGAGUACUACCGGCAACAGCCCGAAACUCAAAGGACUUGCGG
rnacentral:rRNA from 1 species